rnacentral:lncRNA from 1 species
UUCAACCUGAUUUUUCUACAGUGGCCAAAUGAAACACAUAUGACUCCUCUGCUUUAUUGCCGACAGCUAUUUCCCUAACGCGUGCUUCGUUCUCUCUCUCAAAUCUACUACAUAAAAAUCCAAAAUUUCUCCCAAAAUCACUUACAAAAUUGGAAUCAACCCACAAAGGGAAGAACAACAACCGAUGUUUGAAUGGAUGGGAUGGCCAUCAUCAACGCCAUUGCCAUGGAGCGGUGCUGCGUCUAUCAAUUGAGGCUGUGGAAGAAUUGAUGGUAGCCUUGAAGAGUCCAGCCAAUCCUCUGAUGGAGAGAUGCUCGAAUGGCAAGAUUAUAAAGCUAUGUCUUUUACUCAAUGUGUAUGUCAUCUGCUCUCGUCUCGUCUCUCCAGCAUAAUUUUAGCCUCUUAAUGUAAAGAGUAAAUUUUUCUUAUUUAUCAUUAAACUGUUUAAGCAAUGUUCAAAUAAUGAUAAUUGAAAAGGUGAUACUAUGAUUCAAGAAUUAUCAAAACUCAAGACCCUUUUAAAACUAAAGUCGAAACCUUCGACUCGCAACUUGUUGCGACCUGACCAGAAUGUGUGUCCCUUUAUCUUACCUUCAUAGGACCAAUCCUUUCCUUUGCUUUUUGUGCAAUCCAGUAAUCAAAAGUUUGGUUUUCUAAAGAUACUUCACAAGUUGUGAUAGUAAAUUUUUUACUUUAUUCUCCAGCAGGUAAUAGAUGAAACUCUUCAACUGGGAGGCAUUGCAAUUUCGUUGGAAAGUCUAUAUGAAUAAGAUUAAGAGUAGUCCAUGUGGGCAAAGAGAACAAAAUAUACUUAAAAAGAAAUAGGAAAUAAAAUUAACAACUGACAACUACAAACAAAGAUGAAGGAUACAUAAGAAUGAUUUCUAAGAAACCCAAAGACCACCUCAUCCCUUGAGAUCACGAUUAGUAUUUUUCAUAAUCGUAUUUCCAAUCACUUGCACACAUCCUUUGUUAUCCUUGUUUUCAAUAGAUGCAAUGGAUAUCCCAUUGUGCUGAUCAUAUUCCGUAAACAUUUAGUACUCAAGUGGUGUUGAUAAAAUGAAAUUGAACUUUAUCCAAAGAAAAUGACAUACCGUGUUUUUUUUUUUAUAACAAUUAAGGAAGAAUUUUGAUCACCUUUAGAUGAUAUAUUUGAAAGAUGUGGUCUAGAGCCAAUUGACGAGGUUAGUCUUGGUAAGUUUGAUUUUCUUAGAGGACCAACAAUUGUUGUUUGUUAUUUUCAAUUAAACUGUUAUUUUCUAUAGACCCGAGUUAAUCCAUGGUUCUAGAAAGAGCGCAAGUGUUAUUAAAUAAUUUGCAAACUUGUUAAACUGAGUAAAUACAAUUAGCUAGAGCUAAACGUUGAAAUGUUGUUCAGAGAGUAAAAAACUUGUUAGUAGGCAUUUAAGAGAUUAAUAAGCAUUCUUUCUUUUUUUUCUAGCAUGAAACUGAAAUAUUUGUUGGUCAAGUAUUUGUAAGGUUCUCUAAUUACAUAUUAUCAUAUCUAUUUGUAUACUUUUACUAGAACUACAUUGAUAGCAAAAUGAUUUUUUGGCUUGUGGGGUAGAAAGUUUUCAAUUGUUGAAUUAAUGGAGACGAAUAUAUAUAAGCCAAAGUAAAACUGAUGAUACUUGUAGCAUUAAAAUUUUCGAAUGUUUCGUAGUUGUUUUUGUACAUAUAUUUGGGUUUUAUAUCAUGAAUCUUUUCAUAUCAAUGUGUUGGAAAUUUGAUAGAAGUGUUUGGGUUGUAAAAUUAUCGCUCCCUUUCUAGGUUAUUUUGUACAUUUCCAACUCAAUAUAAGUAUGAGAAUUGAACUAUCUAUCAUAUUACGGAUUCCAGCUUAGUCCUUUGUCCCAAGUUUAAUGACUAAGUCCUAAAAAUGGUAUUCUUUGUACCUGAUAUGAUAGCUGAUGUAUGGCAUGAAAUGAUUUGUAGGAUCAUUUGUUUUUAAAGUGAAAUUGCUUUAGAAACUAAUUCAAAAGACACGGAUGUUUUAAAAAAAUGGAGAUUGACUCAAGACAUCUCCAAAUGAAAUUUAAAUCCAGAAAUGGAUGGAGCAGAGUCAAUAGUUUCGGCCACCUUCUAGUUGUUUCAAUUUUCUGCAUAACCUUCAUAGGGAGAAAUGAACCAGCUGAAAGAUAUACCAACAAUCGCAGGGCAUGCAUUUAAAUCAGAAGCACAGAUAAAGGUUAGUAAUUUCUACUUGAAAACAAAUUUAGUAAAUGAACCAAGGCAACCUUCAGUAAUCAAAUAUUGCUCUCUUUCUAUUAGAUCCACCAAGGUUGAGGUAGGGACAAUUUUGGCUUAAGAUAAGGCUUACUUGCUAGAAAAUUUUUGCUUGCUUGGUCUAGAAUGAUAUGACAUAGUAACUUUCUAUACAUUUUCAAUGAGGAAAAGUCCAUUCCAUUGUAGUCAUAGUAAAUAUUGGGUUGAUGAUGUAAUUCACGAGAAUUCGACACAUUUAAGACACUAACAUUGCCUUCAAGAUAACCUAGCCCGUGCAUAGCACGGGUAAAGACUAGUAUAUAUAAGAAUCCUCUUAUUCUCUCCCAUUCCCUAAAAGGUAAAAAUCUUAUCAUUCUUUUUCAUUCUCUAAAUCUAAACGGCUCAAUUUUUUCUUGCUCAAGGUCAUCGACGACGUUAAAGUCCUCCAUUUUUUGUUCAGGCUUGAAGCCAAAUAACCGUUAAUUAGUCCACCUUCGACGAAGAUCACCAUUAAUCUCUUGAGGUUUUAUUUUUUCUUUCUUUUUACAUUUGUUGCUCUCUUCUCUUCUAAUUUUUCAAAUUUAGGGGUAUUUGUUUUUUUUAUUCUUUACAAAUUUGGUCUGAAUUGGUACAAUGUCUCAUUUUUUUGUUGUCUAUUUUUCUAGUGCUAUGAAAAUGUUAACAUUUUGGUUUAUGUAAGUUAUUUAUAAAUGUAUUUCUUACAAUUAUAUUUUUCAUUUUUCUUUCAUGUAAAUAAUGGUUAUUGAUCAUUAUUGGACAAAUUAAGUUUGAGUUUGUGAAAUGAGCCAAGAUUGAAUUAGGGAUAUUCUGGUCAACAUGCACAGAUAAAUUCGAUUAAAUGUGCCUUUAUAUGAUUAUUUCGGAUAAUUUAAAUGUUGUUUGAAGUGUUGGAUUAUUAUAUUUUAUUCUUGAAAAUGUCUUUGCAUUUAUAAUGUCCAUUCUGACAGUAACGAAAUCAUCCGUCUACAGAUGAACUGUCGUCCUCGACAGUUAGCUCUGAAAUUCUCGGCAGUUGAUUGCAGAAGCCAAAUUUUGUUAAGCUUCUCUUCUACAUGUGAUUUUAGAGGUUGAAAUGUAUAAUAUGUCAUUUGAGCAUCGUUAUUACUUCAUGAAUUAUAGACAUAAUAGUUAUGAAUCCAUCUGUACAAAUAAACUGUCAUUCUAGAUAGAGAAGUCACCGAUCCAAAAGGUGUUUGCCUGGACUAUCGGAGGGUCCAUUGGCUAGCUAGGUAAAUGAGGGGAUUGUCAUCUAGGAAAUGUCAUCUACACCUAAAACUUCUGCAAUUGCGGGAAAUUUGCUGCUUCAUUUAUGCCAUUUCAUUAGAGGAUGACAGCUUAUCAAGGUAACCCAUUUUAUACUUAACACUCUUUCAUGCUGGAUGUUCUAUACUAAACGUACUAGUACUAUAAUUAGAAAAUCGAAAAAUGUUGUUAUACCGUUUACAUUGUGAAAAAACGUGACAAUUUGUUGCAAUCUAAAUGUAUGACAUAUUGUUGCAAUAUAAAUUCAGCGGACGCCUAGGAUCACAUGCAAUUCAUAAAUAUCAUUCUUCAUAUUUGUCAGUUAUGACAUAUUUUUGUAACCCAACCCUUUACGACAAGCUUGAGAUCACAUGCAAUUCAAAGAUAAAAACAUCUUAUUCGAAAUUUACGGCAUAUUUCUGCUACCUUAAUAUACCAUAAGUUUAGGAUCACAUGCAAUUCAAAGAUAUGAUUUGUCAUACUUGUAAUUUAUAGCAAGUGUGGGCAGCCUAAAUUUACCAUAACUUUAGGAUCACAUGCAAUUCAAAUAUAUCAUUCUUCAGUCCACAAGGACGAUGGUGAGUAUAUCGGGGGUCCGAUUGUGUCAAUUAGGUAGCUGUCAUUGUUAUGUUAGAAAUUUCUCGUAAGAGUAGGAUCACAUGCAAUUUAAAGAUAAUUUUAUUUCAAAUUUGUAAUUCAGGACAUAUUUUUAAACAUAGGUUACAUAGAUAUGAGCUCGUACAGACGAAGGUUGGAUACGGGAAACGAGGCUUUGGUCACUUUCAUGAGAAGCGACGAACAGUAACACAGCGUGGAACGUGUUGUACAUGCAUAUAUUCUGUCAACGAUCCGCAUGGAUGAAUUUGUUAUUUUUUCAUAUUGUGUAAUAAUAAAUUACUAUUUCAAAUAUUUUAUGUGGCAUUUAUUUGAAACUGUUAAGUAUAUUUGAAAUUUAUGUACAAUAACCCUUCGUUUGCAAUGAAGCCACUUGGAUCGCACUACUACGGCAUACGUCUAGACUUAUUUUCAAAUUUCUUGUUUGUAUUUGUAACGUGCAUGUGCCUUCGUAACCCUAAACAAUGUUAAUAUCAUAAGCCAAUAAAAGUGCCCAAAGUACGACAAG